rnacentral:tRNA from 1 species
GCGCCUGUAGCUCAGCGGAUUAGAGCGCCACGCUUCGGACGUGGAGGUCGGGGGUUCGAAUCCCUUCGGGCGCGCCA